AAAUUGAAGAGUUUGAUCAUGGCUCAGAUUGAACGCUGGCGGCAGGCCUAACACAUGCAAGUCGAGCGGAAACGAGUUAUCUGAACCUUCGGGGGACGAUAACGGCGUCGAGCGGCGGACGGGUGAGUAAUGCCUAGGAAAUUGCCAUGAUGUGGGGGAUAACCAUUGGAAACGAUGGCUAAUACCGCAUGAUGCCUACGGGCCAAAGA
rnacentral:rRNA from 1 species